AUUGAACGCUGGCGGCAGGCCUAACACAUGCAAGUCGGACGGUAGCACAGAGGAGCUUGCUCCUCGGGUGACGAGUGGCAGACGGGUGAGUAAUGUCUGGGGAUCUGCCCGAUAGAGGGGGAUAACCACUGGAAACGGUGGCUAAUACCGCAUAACGUCGCAAGACCAAAGAGGGGGACCUUCGGGCCUCUCACUAUCGGAUGAACCCAGAUGGGAUUAGCUAGUAGGCGGGGUAACGGCCCACCUAGGCGACGAUCCCUAGCUGGUCUGAGAGGAUGACCAGCCACACUGGAACUGAGACACGGUCCAGACUCCUACGGGUGGCAGCAGUGGGGAAUAUUGCACAAUGGGCGCAAGCCUGAUGCAGCCAUGCCGCGUGUAUGAAGAAGGCCUUCGGGUUGUAAAGUACUUUCAGCGGGGAGGAAGGCGAUAAGGUUAAUAACCUUGUCGAUUGACGUUACCCGCAGAAGAAGCACCGGCUAACUCCGUGCCAGCCGCCGCGGUAA
rnacentral:rRNA from 1 species